CUCUUGUAUCUCUCACCUUUAAAGAGAGAUACCAGCUGUAACAUUAUACAUAAGAUAAAUGUGUCUUGUGUCCUAGAAAUUAAUCAAUGAAUUAAAUAAUAUAUGAAUUUAAUGAAGUAUUUUAUGCUCUCUUAAGGGACUCACUUGUAUUGUGCAUUACAUUUGUUAUAAUACUUACAGAUUGAGAAAUGUCCGAUGCUGUCUCGUGGCCAAACAACCUUGCUUGGAGGUGUGCUGAAAUGCAUCUGUGGUUUUCACAUUCCAAAGGUAACAUUAAUGUAGCAAGUAUUUUUUGUUAGUAUUAAUUACUGAAAUGGUUUGCUUUCUGAAUUGUUAUAUGUAUGUUUUUUUUUUUUUUUUUUUUUAUUAGCAGCCCACUGCCUCUACUGGACCAGCACAAAGGGUGGUGGAAACAACCUGCUGCUGCUGAAACAGCAAAGAAGGCCAUGGAGCGGAGUCAGCCUGACCCCCAGCCUCAUCCCCUGCCCCAGCCCCAGCCUACUGCACCAGUGGAAGCAAGAGUUGCACCACAAUUUUCAACGUUUACCAAGCCAAGAUUUACUGGCUCUCACCUUGCUGCAGCAAAGCCAAAUCUUAGUUUGGCCAGGAGACCUUCUCAGGUUGAAGACCAGCCCAGCGCAGCAGUGUCUAGUGGCUCUAUACCAAGCACCACUGCCUCUACACCAGAUCCUCAAGUUCCAUGCCCUGUCCCCAGAGCCACUGCAGAUGUGUCCAGUCCCGCUCAGCCAUGCAAUAUUGUCUCA